rnacentral:rRNA from 1 species
GAUAUGACUCUUGGCAACGGAUAUCUAGGCUCUCGCAUCGAUGAAGAACGCAGCGAAAUGCGAUACUUGGUGUGAAUUGCAGAAUCCCGUGAAUCAUCGAGUCUUUGAACGCAAGUUGCGCCUGAGGCCUUCUGGCCAAGGGCACGUCUGCCUGGGCGUCACCGA